rnacentral:rRNA from 1 species
AUUGAACGCUGGCGGAAUGCUUUACACAUGCAAGUCGAACGGCAGCACGGACUUCGGUCUGGUGGCGAGUGGCGAACGGGUGAGUAAUGUAUCGGAACGUGCCCAGUCGUGGGGGAUAACGUAGUGAAAAUUACGCUAAUACCGCAUACGAUCUAUGGAUGAAAGCGGGGGAUCGCAAGACCUCGCGCGAUUGGAGCGGCCGAUAUCAGAUUAGGUAGUUGGUGGGGUAAAGGCCCACCAAGCCAACGAUCUGUAGCUGGUCUGGGAGGACGACCGGCCACACUGGAACUUAGAAACGGUCCAGAGUCCUACGGGAGGCAGCAGUGGGGAAUUUUGGACAAUGGGCGAAAGCCUGAUCCAGCCAUUCCGCGUGCAGGAUGAAGGCCCUCGGGUUGUAAACUGCUUUUGUACAGAACGAAAAGGUUUCUACUAAUACUAGGAGCUCAUGACGGUACUGUAAGAAUAAGCACCGGCUAACUACGUGCCAGCCGCCGCAGUAA